CCCCCGCGCUGGAGAGCGGUGGCCCGGCCCGGCGCGCUGCGGGCCCUGCCUCCCUGCCUGCCGCCCUCCGUCCCUUCCUCUCCAUCCAGCCUUCGUCUCCUUCUGUUCCCGCUCUCCUCGCUCCUUUCCUGCCUUGGCACUUCUGUUUUCUCCUCUCCUUAGCGCUCCUCCGUUUUUCAUCUACUUCUUUUUCCGCCCCAGGUUGUCCACUUUUUUUUUGUUUUUUGAGACGGAGUCUCGCUCUGUCGCUCAGGCUGGAGUGCAGUGACAUGAUCUCGGCUCACUGCAAGCUCCGCCUCCCGGGUUCACGCCAUUCUCCUGCCUUAGCCUCCCGAGUAGCUGGGACUACAGGCGCCCGCCACCACGCCCGGCUAAUUUUUUGUAUUUUUAGUAGAGACGGGGUUUCACCGUGUUAGCCAGGAUGGUCUCGAUCUUCUGAUCUCGUGAUCCGCCCGCCUCGGCCUCCCAAAGUGCCGGGAUUACAGGCGUGAGCCACCGCGCCCGGCCGGGUUGUCCACUUUUAUCUCCUCUUUUCCUUGAUCGUCCUCCCCUUUUUUUCUCCUCUUCCUUUUCCUUAAGCCUUCGCCUGUCAAUCACGUCGAAACACAGUAUUUAACCGGAGCCAGUAUCUUGAUCUGCCUAAAGACAAGACAUUCAAUCGUGAACAGUCGAAUAUUAUUCCUUCCUCAAUUAUACAAAAAAGACUUCCUGCAGUGAGGACGGCGGGACCAGACAGACACAUGUAUUCACUCUGGUGUUGAGUGACCAGCCAGCGCGUUCUGGAAUCCAGAGAAAUCUCAGGACCCUGGGGCUGAAGUGGUUGGGAAAAGCUUCCUGAAGGUCCUUCCUGAGAUAAAGCUGGAAAGAGGGGCAGACUCUUCGUAAGUACAGACUAUUUUGGGCAGGGUCAAGGGUGAGAGAUGAGACUGAAGUGUGUGCACAGGAGAUGAAAGAGACCAACCUGGCUGCCCGGGGCUGGACGGGAGUGCAGAGGGCCUCAAACACCAGGGUGGCGAGGCUGGAUCCAACCAGAGGCCUCUGACAGAGUCCAGGUAACCCUGAGCUCUGGCCCCAAUGUCCUGCUCCUGACCUCUGUGCCCUGGGCCAGUCCACAUCCUGACUCACACCAGGCCCCAUUCCCAUCUGAGCUCACCUCGGCCUGCGUCUUCGUCAGUUUUCUGUUGCUAUCACAGAAUAUCACAGACUGAGUAAUUUACAACGAAGAGAAGUGUAUUAGGCCGGCAGCGCAGGAGGCCGGGAAGUCUGAGAUCAGUGGGCCAGCAUCUGGUGAGGGCCCUGCUGACGUGUCAUCCUGUGGCAGUAAGUGGAAGGACGGGGUGUGUGUGCUCCAGAGACAGACCAAGAAGGGACCGAACUCGCUUUGAUAACAAACCCACUCCCACGAUGAUGGCAUUGAUGGGCUCGGGAGGGCCCAGCCCUUGUGACCUCAUCACCUCUUAAAGGUCCCACCUCUCCGUGCUAUUGCACUGGGGACUAGGCUGCCAGUGCAGGAGCUCUAGGGGACACUUUUAAGCCAUGGCAGCUUCUCUGUCCCGACUCCCGUGGCCUUCCUGACUUUCAAGCCCCCCUUCCUCCAGGCUAAUAAUCACAAUUGUCCCUGUCCCAGCACAGGCCGUCAGCCCCUCCUCCACCCAGGCCAGAAUCGGCGGCAGCAACCCUGGGCACCCCGACCUGCCCUGCCUGCCUGGCCCUUGGGGGGCUUUAGCCACCCUCUGAGCCCAUUUCCUCACCUGUAAACCGGGGUGAAGACGUUUCCUCCCUGAGCACGAAAUGUUUUUCCACCUUCCUGCUUCAGACUUUCUGGACCAGUGGGGAAGAGGGGACCUGGAGCUGACUCAGCACCAGAAAACAGUCCCCACCAGCUCUCUAAUUUGACCCCAGAUGUGUCUUUCUCCUUGAAUACGGCGGGAUGGGCGGCUCCCUCCCUCACCACCUCCCCUUAGAGCCCUGGAUUCUUAUCUUGAGUGCAAAGCAGGGCCUCGCCCCGGGGCCCCAGUACACCUCUCCUCCCUCCCAUUAGUCCUUCCAGCUCACCUCAGUUCUCCACCAAAGGCUGAGCGUGCCAGCUAUCCACGGGCGCCUGCCCAGGGCUUCCCGGCUGUGGCCAGGGCAAGAGGACAAGACAAGCUCUUGGACAACUCACUCCGCCCUGGCCUUCUGGCUUCUGGAAAGCCCUGGGGAAUUCCAAGCUCACUGCUGGCCCCAGCCCAAGCUGCCACACCCUGCCUCUCCAGCAGCACCAUAGCCUCACCCACAAAUACUCUCUGCUGCCAUCCAUUCCUCAGCCCUGCCUCCUCCUCCAGGAAGCCUCCCUGGUGACCCCAGCCCCCAGGAACAAAUAGCAUUUAUCUUUAUGCAGAAUUGCAGAACUUUUAAAAUUUUAUUUUUGAGACAGAAUCUUGCUCUUGUCACCCAGGCUGGAGUGCAGUGGCACAAUCUCAGCUCACUGCAACCUCUGCCUCACAGGCUCAAACCAUCCUCCCACCUCAGCCUCCCGAGUAGCUGGGAAUACAGAUGCACUCCACUACGCCCAGCUAAUUUCAUAUUUUUAGUAGAGACGGGGUUUCGCCAUAUUGGCCAGGCUGGUCUUGGACUCCUAGCCUCAAAGGAUUCACCCGCCUUGGCCUCCCAAAGUGUUGAGAUUACAGACGUGUGCCACGGCGCCCGGCCUCAAACUUCUUUUACAGAUUUACGCUUUGUGGGGUGUAGGGUCUCCCCUUUGUUUCUGACCAAGUGCCCAGUGUUUGGGGGCUGCCGUGAGCCCCUCUUCUGCUCCCCGUACACAGAAUGGAAGCCUGGCUGAGCGCCAGACCACUCGUUUUCUGGACAGGGUCAGGCAGGCAUACCUGGGAGCAACCACGCCGCGCCCACACGUGGCUGAGGGACAGGUUUGGGAACCUUGGAAGCGCGUUAGGCCUGAAGCUCAGAAUGCAGAAGCUUGAGCCGAGUAUUGGGCAGCCACGGAAAAUGCUGCACCGCCACCCUGCCCGGGAAAAGAGGCAAGGCAGAGAGGACUCUGCAUAAUGGCGUCUUUCAGCAGGCCUGUCCGCAGCCACAGGGCUCUCAACGGGUGUUGUCUGGUGAGAGGGUGCCAGUAGCUGUGGGGGAAGGUGCUGUGCCUGCCAGACCUGCAGCUCCUAGGCUGAGCCACUUUUGGACAGGUCUCCCCCGACCCCGGAGCCCCAAGCCACAGGCCCCAGAGUCCCCUGUGCUGGUGGCUUUCCUGGAGGGGGUGAACCUCGCUGAGAGUUACCAGGUGGCCAUCUGGUUAGCAUGUACAAGUCCAGCCUGGAGCUACUGAACUGGGGACACAGCCCAAUCCAAGGCACCUUCUCUUAACUCAGCCACGUGCCGCAACUGCCUGAAGGACUGUGGGCCAGCUCACGUUUGGACAGGGCCUUUUAGCCUCCCCCAAGCCCAGGCAGGUCAUUUUGCAGAUGAGGAAACUGAGGUUACAGAGGCUGACACAUGGUUCUCCAGGGUCUUAUGUGGCAGAUGUAUCUUCACUCCCCUGGUGCCUGUCCCUGUCAUUUCUGGGUGGGGAAGGUGAAAGGGGUUUCCUGGCAGGAAUCAGUCUGGUCCCUACAAAGGGCCGAGGCCAUCAUGCUGGGGCUGAGGCAGAUGCCGGCCAGCAGGCUACAUAAGGCGGAGAGGACCACACGUCACCCUCAGUGGCCAGGAGCACCAGUGCCAGGGCGAGCAUCCUGUCAGUAGCAGGGAGGUGGGAUGCACCUAGUGUGUCUGGAGUUUGUCCCUUCCGGUGGGUUUGUAGUCUCGCUGACUUCAAGAAUGAAGCUGCGGACCUUCGCAGUGAGUGUUACAGCUCUUAAAGGUGGUGUGUCCGGAGUUUCUUCCUUCCGGUGGGUUCCUGGUCUCGUUGACUUCAAGAAUGAAGCCGCAGCCCUUCACGGUGAGUGUUAACAGCUCUCAAAGGUGGUACAGACCCAAAGAGUGAGCAACAGCAAGAUUUACUGUGAAGAGGGAAUCAACAAAACUUCCACAGCGUGGAACAGGACCCUAGGGAGUUGCUACUACUGGCCAGGGGUGGGGUGGGUGGCCAGCUUUUUUUAUUCCUUUAUUUGUCCUUGCCCACAUCCUGCUGAUUGGUCCAUUUUACAGAGCACUGAUUGGUCCAUUUUACAGACUGCUGAUUGGUCCAUUUUACAAACCUCCAGCUAGCCACAAAGCACUGAUUGGUGCAUUUUUACAGAGCACUGAUUGGCACAUUUUACAAACCUCUGGCUAGCCACAGAGCGCUGAUUGGUGCAUUUUACAAUCCUAGCUACAGAGUGCUGAUUGGUGCACUUUACAAUCCUCUUGUAAGACAGAAAAGUUCUCCAAGUCCCCACUGGACCCAGGAAGUCCAGCUGGCUUCACCUCUCACCAGGGGCACCUGCAGGAGACGCAGCAGAUAUGGGCAUCUUUGAUGGGAUCUUGCUGUGUCGCCCAGGCCUGGAGUGCAGUAAUCAUCGUGUGUCUGGAAUUGGUGGGUUCUUGGUCUCACUGACUUCAAGAAGGAAGCUGGUGGCCCUCGAGGUGAGUGUUACGGUUCUUAAAAGCAGUGUGUCCGGAGUUUGUUCCUUCUGAUGGUUCGUGGUCUCGCUGGCUCGGGAGUGAAGCUGCAGACCUAGUGGAUCUUGCACAGGGGCCUCAGGUGGAGCUGCCGGCCAGUCCCACGCUGUGUGCCCGCACGCCUCAGCUCUGGGCGGUUGAUGGGACCGCGCCCCACAGAGCACGGGGUGGCACUCGUCAGGGAGGCUUGGGCCGCGCAGGAGCCCACGGGAGUGGGGGUGGGGUGUGCUUAGGCACGGCGGGCUGCAGGUCCCGAGUCCUGCCCCGCGGGGAGGCAGCUGAGGCCCGGCGAGAAUUCGAGUGCAGCACCGGCAGGCCGGCACUGCUGGGAGACCCGGUGCACCCUUCGCAGCUGCUGGCCCGGGUGCUAAGCCCCUCACUGCCCGGGGCCGGUGGCGCCGGCCGGCUCCAAGUGCAGGGCCCACCCAGCCCACGCCCACCCAGAACUUCUGCUGGUCCGCAAGUGCCGCAUGCAGCCCUGGUUCCUGUCCGCGCCUCUCCCUCCACACCUCCCCGCAAGCUGAGGGAGCUGGCUCCAGCCUCGGCCGGCCCAGAGAGGGGCUCCCACAGUGCAGCGGCGGGCUGAAGGGCUCCUCAAGCACAGCCAGAGUGGGCACCAAGGCCGAGGAGGCGCCGAGAGCGAGCGAGGGCUGCGAGGGCUGUCAGCACGCUGUCACCUCUCGAUAGCUUGCUGCAGGCUCAAACUGCUGGGCUCAAGCAAUCCUCCCACAUCAGUCUCCCAAAGUGCUGAGAUUACAGGUGUGAGCCACUGUUAGCAGAACACCAGCGGUUCGCUCUGGGACCCACUGCUCACCGCACAGAGAGCCAAUGACUGGGACGAGUAUUGCCAAGGAAGAAAGCUUUAAUCGGGCGCUGCAGCCAGAGAGAUGGGCGCUCACUCUCAACUCCAUCUCUGACCUACUAAAACUAGGGGUCUGUAUAUUAGGAAGAAAUGUAACAAUGUUCAAGAAAAUAGGAACUGGGAUGAAAUAUAACAAUGUGUAGGAAAACAGGAACUUGAGAGGGUAAGGGAGCAAUCCUGAUGGAUGAGGGGCCUGGAGUCUCGUUGUCUGGAUGUCAUGAUCUGGUGAGUUUCAGUUCUUGGAUACUUUUUUUUGAGAGGCCUGAAGGUGUUUCCCAAGGAAGGAACUCAGAUAAAACAAAUGUAAGGUUCAAAAGGGUCAAUUUCUAUGUUUGUCCAAACAACUAUCUUUGGGACAAUUGGGUCAGUUUCACCACCAUGCCUGGCCAAAAAUUUCAGCCUGCCUAAAUGUGACUUUUCAGGCCCCAAUUGGGACCAUGCUCAGCUAUUCCCUUGUGAGGCACUGCCCACCUGCCACCAAAUUAGGCCCUUGAUGCCUGCUGGUCCAGUGGGUGUGUCCAGCCCUUGUCACAGGGGUUGACCUGCAGGGGCAAGGGGACAUCCCCCUGAGCCAGGCACUGGGUAUUCUUUCCAGCUGGAGUGGGGAGAAGCUCCUUCCCCCCCGGUCCACUGGAGGAGCCUGCCCUGUCUUCAGCCAGGGGAAGGCCAGCCUGAGUGAAUGAAACCAACAUACGAUUGGAAAGAGAUGGAGAGGAGGGGAAGAGGGGGUUCUGGUGGCCCUGGCCCUGGUUCCCAUUGUCCCCCAAGGCCGCUUGCCCCUGCCCUUCCUGUGUGUCCUAUAGCCAAUUGGAGUUGGCUUUUGAGUUGUUUGUAUUUUUCAUUUUCUGUAUAGUAUAAUGUUUUGACAUCUUUAAAAAGACCUUUCUGGCUGGGGAGAAGGAGAACUGCCCUCUAACUGGCCAAUUUCUAGAGAUAGCAUAUCUGGAGCACGCCUUCGAUAUGUAAACUAACCAUCCACAGCCAGGCCUCCUCCCUCAGGCCCGUACACACGCGAGGCAACAUUCCUCUGCCUUCAUCAUUCCAGGGUCAGGCUGGGCACCUAGGGACCCCCACACUAUAGUUUGGAGCCCAACUAGCCAGUCCUAAACUCUUCACAUCUCCCCGCGUGGCCUCUCCCAAUAAAGGCUGUGGCCUGGACUUUGCCUUGCCCCUCUUUUCUGUGUCCUGACCAAAACAUGGUAGUCACAUGGUCCUGCAGCAUGUUCCGUGCCUCCUGUGUCUGUAGCAUCUGUGAGCACAAUCAGCUUUCUUUCUUUCUUUUUUUCUGACACAGAGUCUCACUCUGUUGCCCAGGCUGGAGUGCAAUUGUGUGAUGUCGGCUCACUACAACCUCCGCCUCUUGGGUUUAAGCAAUUCUCUUAUCUCAGCCUCCCGAGUAACUGGGAUUACAGGCGAGUGCCACUGCGCCCAGCUAAUUUUUGUAUUUUUAGUAGAGACGAGGUUUCACCAUGUUGGUCAGGCUGGUCUUGAACUCCUGACCUCAGGUGAUCCGCCUGCCUCCGCCUCCCAAAGUGCUGGGAUUUCAGGCGUGAGCCACCACACCCAGCCUCAAUCAGCUUUCUUUUCUUGUGUCUCUCCUGUGUCUAAUUUUGUUGCUGUAUCUGACUGACCAUCACAAAGCUAAAACCAAACACACACACACACACACACACACACACACGAACUGAGUGGGGCAUCGUGACAUGUGCCUGCAGUCCCAUCUACUGGGGAGGAUGAGGUGGGAGGACUGCUUGAACCCAGGGGUUCAAGGUUACAGUGAGCUACGAUCAUGCCACUGCAUUCUGGCCUGGGCAACAGGUGAGACCUUGUCUCUAUUUCAAAACAAAAACAAACAAAACCACAGAACAGUUUUCUCUCACUUCCUACCAGAAAGUCCUUCCCUUCCCUCCCCAUAUGUAAAACUCUUCCUUCUUUAAGCUCUAGUUUAAUGUCACCUUCCCCACUACCCCGGUAGCCUCUGAAAGGGCCCCCUCUCUUCCCUGGGGCCCUGCAACCCUCAGUCAGACGUCAUGCCUUUGUAUCAGAGAUGCUUAGUGCCUGGCUAGAGCCUAACUUAACAGUCAGGAAGUAGGAUGGAAGUCCAAGUUAGAGCAGAUUGCCCAUGGAAUGGAGCUGAUACAACUCUUUAAAGGAGAAUAUGUUGAAAUGUGGCAAAAACUUUUAAAACAGUACACCAGCCGGGUGCAGUGACUCACAUCUGUAAGCCCAACACUUUAGGAGGCCAAUACUGGAGGAUUGCUUCAGGCUGGGAGCUCAAGACCAGCCUGGGCAACAUAGUGAUGUUACCAGUGGAGGGUCUUGACUACAAGUUGUCCAGUUUCUUGGUGUUUUCAACAAAACAUUGGACAAAAUGCACAAAUGAAGCAAUGAAAGAAUGAAGCACAGAUUUAUUGAAUGAAAGCAUAGAUUUAUUGAAAUGAAAGUACACGCCACAGAGUGGGAGUGGGUUUCAGUAAGCGGCUCAAGAGUCCCUGGUUACAGAAUUUUCCGGGGUUUAAAUACCCUCUAGAGGUUUCCCAUUGGUUACUUGGUUAUACCCUAUGUAAAUGAAGGAGUGGCCCCUGACCAGUCUGACUGGUUGCAGAAGGCAACCUAGGCUGAAGUGAAGUUACAAAGUUACACCUUGUGCAAACGUCUGAUUGGUUGCAGGAGGGGACCAAUCAGAGGCUGAAGUUAAGUUACAAAGUUAUACCCCUAUGCAAUUGAAGACUAGGCCCAUGACCAGUCUGAUUGGUUGCAGGAGGGGACCAAUCAGAGGCUGAAGUUAAGUUACA